GUCGAACGAGAAAGUGGAGCAAUCCAUGAGUAAAGUGGCGCACGGGUGAGUAACACGUGACUAACCUACCCAGGAGUGGGGAAUAACUGAGGGAAACCUUAGCUAAUACCGCAUAACACCUACGGGUCAAAGGAGCAAUUCGCUUCUGGAGGGGGUCGCGGCCGAUUAGUUAGUUGGCGGGGUAAUGGCCCACCAAGACGAUGAUCGGUAUCCGGCCUGAGAGGGCGCACGGACACACUGGAACUGAAACACGGUCCAGACUCCUACGGGAGGCAGCAGUGGGGAAUUUUGCGCAAUGGGGGAAACCCUGACGCAGCAACGCCGCGUGGAGGAUGAAGUCCUUCGGGACGUAAACUCCUUUCGAUCGGGACGAUAAUGACGGUACCGAGAGAAGAAGCCCCGGCUAACUUCGUGCCAGCAGCCGCGGUAAUACGAGGGGGGCGAGCGUUGUUCGGAAUUAUUGGGCGUAAAGGGUGCGUAGGCGGUUUGGUAAGUCUGAUGUGAAAUCUAUGGGCUCAACUCAUAGUCUGCAUCGGAAACUGCCGGGCUUGAGUAUGGGAGAGGUGAGUGGAAUUCCUGGUGUAGCGGUGAAAUGCGUAGAUAUCAGGAGGAACACCUGUGGCGAAAGCGGCUCACUGGACCAUAACUGACGCUGAUGCACGAAAGCUAGGGGAGCAAACA
rnacentral:rRNA from 1 species